GUUACUCCGGAGACACUUGCAGAACGAACACAGGGAUACUCUGGCGCAGAGAUUGCGUCUGUGUGCCAUGAGGCGGCCAUGUUCGCACUACAGGAGGAUAUCGGGAGCCAGUCAGUGGAGGAACGCCAUUUCCUGUCUGCACUGGAAACCGUCACUCCUAGGAUUGGCCAGGAUACGAUCAAGUUCUAUGAGGAAUACCAACAAAAAUCUGGAUUGCAUUCUGUAUGAUUGUCUUUUUAGAAUAAAAUAAUUCCAGAUUA